rnacentral:rRNA from 1 species
GGGUCAGUAGGUUGGUCGUGCCACCGGUACGUACUGGUCUCACCGAUUCCUCCUUCCUGAAGAACCGUAAUGCCAUUAAUUUGGUGUUGCGGGGAAACAGGACUGUUACUUUGAAAAAAUUAGAGUGUUUAAAGCAAGCUAACGCUUGAAUUCAUUAGCAUGGAAUAAUGAAAUAGGACGAUCGAUCCUAUUUUGUUGGUUUCUAGGAUUGACGUA